rnacentral:ncRNA from 14 species
ACAACGGCUCUUUUAAGAGCCACACACUCCGUCUGGAAGAGCUGGU